UGCCAGACUCCUACGGGAGGCAGCAGUGGGGGAUAUUGCACAAUGGGGGGAACCCUGAUGCAGCGACGCCGCGUGGGUGAGGAAGCGCCUCGGCGCGUAAAGCCCUGUCAGCAGGGAAGAAAAUGACGGUACCUGAAGAAGAAGCCCCGGCUAACUACGUGCCAGCAGCCGCGGUAAUACGUAGGGGGCAAGCGUUAUCCGGAUUUACUGGGUGUAAAGGGAGCGUAGACGGCUGUGCAAGCCAGAUGUGAAAGCCCGGGGCUCAACCCCGGGACUGCAUUUGGAACUGUGUGGCUGGAGUGUCGGAGAGGCAGGCGGAAUUCCUAGUGUAGUGGUGAAAUGCGUAGAUAUUAGGAGGAACACCAGUGGCGAAGGCGGCCUGCUGGACGAUGACUGACGUUGAGGCUCGAAAGCGUGGGGAGCAAACAGGAUUAGAUACCCCGGUAAAG
rnacentral:rRNA from 1 species